rnacentral:rRNA from 1 species
CGGUACGCGAGCUGGGUUCAGAACGUCGUGAGACAGUUCGGUCCCUAUCCGUCGCGGGCGCAGGAAAUUUGAGAGGAGCUGUCCUUAGUACGAGAGGACCGGGAUGGACGCACCGCUGGUGUACCAGUUGUUCUGCCAAGGGCAUCGCUGGGUAGCUAUGUGCGGACGGGAUAAGUGCUGAAAGCAUCUAAGCAUGAAGCCCCCCUCAAGAUGAGAUUUCCCAUUCCGCAAGGAAGUAAGAUCCCUGAAAGAUGAUCAGGUUGAUAGGUCUGAGGUGGAAGUGUGGCGACACAUGGAGCUGACAGAUACUAAUCGAUCGAGGACUUAACCAAUUU